GACCCAUCAUUUUGCAAUGAAAACAACAUAUAAAACUUUGGACAAUGUUGAAAUCAGGCCAAACGUCGUAAUACAUAUGCAAAAAAAUUCAUUGUUGGCCCACCAUUGACGAGAAGAUUUAGCUUGUAUGAAUCACUAUUGGUUUGA
rnacentral:rRNA from 1 species